AUGCUUCACUCGGCAACCAGCGAGCAUCCACUGCGGGCAGGCACUGCGCUCCGGGCUGCGGGUGCAGCAGGGCGCGGACCGGGGCGGGCUUGGGAGGGGGCGACGUGGGAGGAGACAAGGGCGGGCACCUGGCGUGGCGCGCGCCAGGCCCGCGGCGCACUCGCAGCUCUCUCGGCGCACGGCGGCGAAGGGGUCAAGCAGCGUGCAGCGCAGCACGCGCACCGCGUCGUCCAGGUGGCUACUGUGACCCUCACCUCUCCUGCAUGCCCGGGUCGGACCAGUUCCGUCGGAUACGGUGACGUGGAGAGGGCACCUGGUCUCUCCGGCUCGGGUCUUGGUCUAGUGGGUGACACGUUAAUCAGCGUGCAGUUACCGUGGUCCUGAGGGAUGAAGGCCAAGGAACUUGGCGUAGACUGGAAGGCUUCCUGGAGGAGGUGACAGCCCCAGCGUAAUAUAGGGGAAAGGGGAAACUGGAGACAGACAAGAACACAGGGAGAACGAUGUGAACACGGAUGGCCAUCUGCAAGCUCAGGAGAGUGGCCUGGAACAGACUCACUCCCUCAACGGCUCUCGGGGGAAGCAGCCUCUGACACCAUGAUCUUGGACUUCUGGAUUCCAGAACAGUGGGGAGAUAAAUUUGUGUUGUUUAAGCCACCAGGUUUAUGGUACUUGUUUGGGCAGCCCCAGGAACAAAUACGGGGAGGGGGCCUGACACUGUUCCGGGAAAUGAAGAAAAGUGCCCUGUGGCCAGAGCCCAGGGGCCCAGGGGGAGCAGGGUCCUCUGGGUGGCUCCACUGGGUCCCAGUGGGGGAUGCAAGGGGGGAUUUAAGGUGGGAGAGUUUCACGUAAGGUUUGUGUUUUUAGAAAACUGCUUUGGCUGUUGCAGAACAGGUUAGCAGGGAGCCAGGCAGUCGCCACAUGAGGCCGUUGCGAAGGCCGUGCUCUGGCUGAGAUGAGCGAGUAAGCACUUAAAUGGGGUGGUGGACUUCCUGCCCCAGAAGUUGCUGCAGACUCACUUUCCCGGCUACUCCCCACGAAGUACAACUAAAUGCCUUGCAGCUAGUUCAGCAGACAGUGGGGAAAGGCUCUGAGCUGGAAAGGAGGUGGGCUGACUGGGGACUCCGGCACGGGAGGAACAGCCAUGGGAUGGGUCCCUGGGGUUUCUCUUUCUUGCUUACAGGUUCCUGGAAUAGGCGCUAGAGGGGGCUGCAAGCCAGACGUGCCGACAGGCCACUCACGGAGUACAUGAUCACUGCCUCGGCAUCUGUUCUGUAUGGCCCUCUGCCUGCGGGGUCUUGAACUGACAGGAGCCCUCCCUCAAGUGCGUGCCCUAGGUGACAGCCCGCAGAGUCACCAGUAAACCGAAGUUCCUGAUGUUGUGACCCCCCCCAACACCCUUGUGAUAACCUCUCUCCUGUGGGCCCCGUAGAUUAAACCCCUGUGAAGCUCACCAAAGCCCUGCUCCCUCUGGUUUGAGCUGACCUAUCCAGCCUUAGCCCAGGAACCCCAAAGCACAGCCCUGUGGACCUAAUACAGGUGUGUGCCCCGGGUCCUGACUCCUGGGCACUGUGCCUGUACCUCCUCCAGGACCUGUGAGUCAUAAGCUUCUCUGUUCCGCUAUUUCUUGAGGUCUUUGUUGAACCACCAGGCAGCCUGGCCACAUGCCUUCUGACACUGCAGGCAGCACCCACGGGGAUGGAGUGACAACCAGGGCAGCACCAGGAGAAUGGAGCAGACAGGAAGGGCAUUGCAAGGGCCGGGAAAAUAAAACUGUCAUUGGAACCACAGGCCAUAAAAGUAGGCUGGAAUUUACACACUAAACCUAAAUGGGGUGACUUUCUGCUGAAAUAGAAGAUUAAUUUUUUUUUUGAUGUGGACCAUUUUUUAAAGUUUUUAUUGAAUUUGUUACAAUAUUGCUUUUUUUUUUUUUUUUUAAUGUUUUGGUGUUUUGGCCACGAGGCAUGUGGGAUCCUAGAUCCCUGGCCAGGGAUAGAACCUGCACCCCUUGCAUUGGAAGGUGAAGUCUUAACCACUGGACCACCAGGGAAGUCCCUGAAAUAGAAGAUUUAAAUAAAAUCAGGUUUCUUCUAACACAAUAACCAAAAUGUCCAGUAUACAGUAAAAAACCACUGGUCAUACCGAGAACCAAGGAAAACCAUUAUUUGAACAUGAAAAGUGAACUGACGUGAACACCAAGAUAAAUCUUGGAAUUAUCUGACAAGGAUUUUAAAGCAGUCAUAAAAAUGCUUUUAAAAAUAUUUAUGAAUUCUUUUGAAACAAAUGAAAAAUUAGAAAAUCUCAGCAAAGAAGUAGAAGUUGUUAAAAAACCAAAUGAAAAUUACAGAACUGGAAAAUACAAUAACCAAAUUAACGUUGUGUCCAUCACCGGACACAGUGAUCACUUCACCCCUGGAUGGACAUGAUAAUAAAGUGGAGGUGACAGGAAAGAAUCAGGAAACUCAAAAGGUAGAGCAAUAGAAUCUGCUCAGUCUAAGCACCAGAGAGAAAUAGACUGAAAAAGAAAAGUGCACGGAGCCUCAGAUCCACAGGACAAUCAUUUUUAUCACCAGAGUCCCAGAACAGGAGGAGGGAGAAUGUGGGCUGAAAAAGUGUUUGAAGAAAUAAUGGCUGAAAACUUCCCAAAUUUGGUGAAAGACAUAAACCCAUAGAUACAAGAAGCUAAGGAAUCCCUAUGUAGGAUAAGCCUUCUAAAAAUCCAUACUAAGAAACAUCAUAAUUAAAUCUCUGAGGACUAAAAACAGAAAAAAAAUGUAAAAACAGCCAGAGAGAAAUGAUGUGUUUCCUAGAGAGGAACGCCAGUGUGAAUGACAGAUUUCUUAUCUGAAAUCACAGCAGCCGGAAGGAAGUGGCAUAUUUUUUAUAUCUGAUGGUUGAAGCAAAAACUAUAAUACUGGGACUUCCCUGGUGGUGCAGUGGUUAAGAAUCUGCCUGCAAAUGCAGGGAACACGGGUUCAAUCUCUGGUCUGGGAAGACCCCACAUGCCGCGGACCAACUAAGCCUGUGCACUGUAACUAUUGAGCCUGCACUCUAGAGCCCGUGUGCCACAACUACUGAGCCCAAGCGCCUAGAACCUGUGCUCCGCAACAAGAGAAGCCACCGCAAUGAGAAGCCCACACACCACAACAAAGAGUAGACCCUGCUCGCUGCAACUAGAGAAAAGCCCGCAUGCAGCAACAAAGACCCAAUGCAGCCAAAAAUAAAUAAAUAAAUUUAUAUUAAAAAAAAUUAUAAUACUGAUGAGCUCGGUGCACACGGGGGAAAUAUUUACAAUAAUUAUAUUUGAAAAGUGAGGACGGUAAAGGGAGGUUUCUACGCUGCACUAGAUUUGGUGAAACAUCGGUACCAGUAAACUGAUAAUUACAUACAUGCACGGGAGUGUGUAGAACAGCCACUAAGAAAAGUAAACAGUGAUAUACUCAAUACGUUAUAAAGUGGAAUUCUAAAGAUAUUCCAAGUAUCCCACAAUAUGGCACGAGGAAACAAACACAAAUAAUAAAAUGUCAAACUUAACCUCUAAUUAUCAAUAGUUCAAAUGUAAAGGGCCCAUACACACCAGUUAGAAGACAAAGAUUUGCAGAGGGAAUAAAAAACCACGACCGAACUAUAUGUCAUUUACCGUAUGCUAAAACUCACUUCAAACGUAAUGAUGUGGGUAGGUUGAAAGAAAAAGGAAAAAGAUAUCAUGUAAACAUUCAUUUAUAAAAAGCACGAUGACUAAUAGCUAAUUUCUCUUCAGAGCAAGGGAAAUUUCUACAGAAAAAGAGGUCCAUUGUAUAAGAAUAAAAGUGUCAAUCCACCAGGAAGAUACAUAGCAAUCGCAAAUGUUUAUGACCCAAACAACAGACCUUCAAGAUACACGAAGCAAACACUGGCAGAGCUGAAAGGAGAGAGACCAACCCCCAGUUACAGGUGAGGACCUCAGCACGCACUCUCCACAACUGCUGGAACUACUAGACAUUCCACAAGGACACAGAACACCAUCAACCAAAGGGAUCAGUGGACAUUUACAGACCCUCCACCCAACAGAGCAGGAUGCCCGUUGUUCACAGGUGCCCAGGAACGUGCCAGGAUAGACCGUAUCCAUAAGACAGACCUCAGCAAAUGUAAAGGAAGUGAAGUCACAGCAUGUUCUCUGACAAAAAAUGGAAUCAAACUAAAAGUCAGUAACAGACAGACAAUCUUCAAACAUGGAAAUUAACUCGGUUCUACUCAGAAAUAGAGAGGAAGGAACUAUUGCUACAUGCAAGACCUUGGAUGCAUCGCUAGGGGAUUAUGCUGAGUAAAAGAAGACAAUCAUAACAAGAUAGCGAUAGUGUGAUUCCAUGUGUAUAACAUGCG